rnacentral:rRNA from 1 species
AGUGAACGCUGGCGGUAGGCCUAACACAUGCUAGUCGAACGGCAGCACAGUAAGAGCUUGCUCUUACGGGUGGCGAGUGGCGGACGGGUGAGGAAUACAUCGGAAUCUACUUUUUCGUGGGGGAUAACGUAGGGAAACUUACGCUAAUACCGCAUACGACCUACGGGUGAAAGCAGGGGAUCUUCGGACCUUGCGCGAUUGAAUGAGCCGAUGUCGGAUUAGCUAGUUGGCGGGGUAAAGGCCCACCAAGGCGACGAUCCGUAGCUGGUCUGAGAGGAUGAUCAGCCACACUGGAACUGAGACACGGUCCAGACUCCUACGGGAGGCAGCAGUGGGGAGUAUUGGACAAUGGGCGCAAGCCUGAUCCAGCCAUACCGCGUGGGUGAAGAAGGCCUUCGGGUUGUAAAGCCCUUUUGUUGGGAAAGAAAAGCAGCAGGUUAAUACCCCGCUGUUCUGACGGUACCCAAAGAAUAAGCACCGGCUAACUUCGUG